GACGAACGCUGGCGGCGUGCCUAAUACAUGCAAGUAGAAUGCUGAAGGAGGAGCUUGCUUCUCUGGAUGAGUUGCGAACGGGUGAGUAACGCGUAGGUAACCUGCCUGGUAGCGGGGGAUAACUAUUGGAAACGAUAGCUAAUACCGCAUAAUAGUAGAUGUUGCAUGACAUUUGCUUAAAAGGUGCAAUUGCAUCACUACCAGAUGGACCUGCGUUGUAUUAGCUAGUUGGUGGGGUAACGGCUCACCAAGGCGACGAUACAUAGCCGACCUGAGAGGGUGAUCGGCCACACUGGGACUGAGACACGGCCCAGACUCCUACGGGAGGCAGCAGUAGGGAAUCUUCGGCAAUGGACGGAAGUCUGACCGAGCAACGCCGCGUGAGUGAAGAAGGUUUUCGGAUCGUAAAGCUCUGUUGUAAGAGAAGAACGAGUGUGAGAGUGGAAAGUUCACACUGUGACGGUAUCUUACCAGAAAGGGACGGCUAACUACGUGCCAGCAGCCGCGGUAAUACGUAGGUCCCGAGCGUUGUCCGGAUUUAUUGGGCGUAAAGCGAGCGCAGGCGGUUAGAUAAGUCUGAAGUUAAAGGCUGUGGCUUAACCAUAGUACGCUUUGGAAACUGUUUAACUUGAGUGCAAGAGGGGAGAGUGGAAUUCCAUGUGUAGCGGUGAAAUGCGUAGAUAUAUGGAGGAACACCGGUGGCGAAAGCGGCUCUCUGGCUUGUAACUGACGCUGAGGCUCGAAAGCGUGGGGAGCAAACAGG
rnacentral:rRNA from 1 species